rnacentral:rRNA from 1 species
UAACGCGUGAGGAACCUGCCUUUCGGAGGGGGACAACAGUUGGAAACGACUGCUAAUACCGCAUGAUACAUCGAAGCCGCAUGGCUUUGAUGUCAAAGAUUUAUCGCCGAAAGAUGGCCUCGCGUCUGAUUAGCUUGUUGGUGAGGUAGCGGCUCACCAAGGCGACGAUCAGUAGCCGGACUGAGAGGUUGGCCGGCCACAUUGGGACUGAGAUACGGCCCAAACUCCUACGGAAGGCAGCAG